rnacentral:rRNA from 1 species
UACGAAGGGGGCUAGCGUUGCUCGGAUUCACUGGGCGUAAAGGGUGCGUAGGCGGUCGGGUAAGUCUGAUGUGAAAUCUCACAGCUUAACUGUGAAACUGCAUUGGAUACUAUCCGGCUCGAGGAAUGGAGGGGAGACUGGAAUACUUGGUGUAGCAGUGAAAUGCGUAGAUAUCAAGUGGAACACCAGUGGCGAAGGCGAGUCUCUGGACGUUUCCUGACGCUGAGGCACGAAAGCCAGGGGAGCAAACGGG